rnacentral:tRNA from 1 species
GCGCCCGUAGCUCAACUGGCAGAGCGAGGCCCUCCUAAGGCCUAGGCUGGAGGUUCGAGUCCUCCCGGGCGUG